UAUCCCCUCUCUACUUUUCUAUCUUCUCUCUUCCCCUUCUCCGUCCGUCCGUCCGUCUGUCUUUAGACUAUUCUGGAAGAAGAUUUGGAGGAUCCGGUCUACCAGUACAUUGUGUUUGAGGCGGGACACGAGCCCCUCCGUGACCAAUCAGAAGAGAGCAUUUAUCAGGUUCCGACCAGUCAACAGAAGGAGGGGGUAUAUGACGUCCCCAAGAGACACCCAGUGAGUCCAGCUCUGUGUGCCUGUGUCCCCUUUGGUGCUGUGGUGUUGCCUGUGCAUAUCCUGUGCCGUGGCUUUGGCUCUGUGCUGUGCUGUGCUGUGGCUUUGUGGGAGUGUGGGUGGAGUCGCUGUGUAUGUGAAUUAGAGUGGGUGGGGUUUCCUCUAUGCUUGGUGCUGGUUGCAUGCAGUGUGGGGACAGGGGUGCGUGUGCAUUGCAUGCAGUGUGGUGCCUUGGUGAUGCAUGGCUGGCUGUGGUCUGCUGGUGAACGAACAAACAUGCAUGGACUGACAAUACAAGAACGAAGAGAUUGGUAAGAGGGAGAGAGAGUGUAUGUAUGUGCAUGUGCACACCUGUGUGUGUGCGUGUGUGCGUCAUUCCAGUUGACCUUGACCGAUGUCAGGAUGCACCAUAACUCUCCAUCUCCUUUAUGAUCUUAUUAAACAUGGUAGUUAAACAUCUCUCUGUUUCAUUAGCUAAUAACUCCAUCCUCAUAACCUCAUAGCUAUUCUGCACCUGCUACUCCAUCUCUGACACCUGUCUAAAAACCAAAGAUCCCAACGGUAGGGAAGGGGCCUCGUUGUCAAAAUCUGCCCUGCUCACUGUUCCCCCUGUACUUCCACUGGGCUCUCCUAGCUCACACUGCAGAACACACACCCAUUGUGUAGUCGUAAUCAGACGGUGUGGAUUGUGGCAGUCAGUUCUGUCCUGUGUUCCUGUAUUAUUCCAGCAGUGCUAACAGGCUUAUAGUAUGUAUACUAGUGAGAUCCCACAGUCCUACUGCUGUCCUUUACCACCACACAACACUGAGACUUAAUGGCUUUUAUCUGUGCUUACCAGGCCUGUAUGUAUCUCUAGGGGUUGUAAUACUGUACUAUAGCCAGUAGGGUCUGGCACCUCUGUCUCAACCUUAUGCUCCACUGUUAUUUAGACUGUCACCUUCUGUCUCUCAAUGCUAUUAACCAAUAACAAACACACUC